UUCAAAUGGGGCGGUUGCUGUCCCAAAGGCCGGGCGUCGGGGUGGAGAGUCGUGUGCUAGAUGAAUGUAAACACUAUUUGAUUCAUAGUCAGAAUGCCGCUAAGUGUGUAGAUUCUCCCUUGAGAAAAACUUAUCAAAACUCUCCACACCCACGAGAGACCCUGUCAUGAAGGGAAAGAGACAACUCACGUUCUCUCUACAUUCACUACGUUGUCUUUAUGGUCGACUAAUAUCGCUUUUAUAACUCGGGUAAUGGUUGAUGUUUGAUUCAUGUGAACGUUGGUGGUACCGGAAGUCGACGGUAACAACACAGAUUUUACUGAAGGUACAUAAAAGCCAAGUUCUGAACGUACUUCAGUAUCCCUAAACCUUCUAUUAUCUGACUUGAAUACAGUUCGGUAUUAAACUAAAUUAACCUUUGUAUUGGCUAACUCGAAUGUUGUUCGGGAAUACGCUGAUUCAAGCUGUAUAUCCAGUCGUUAAAUUUCACUAAUUUUGAAUAGAAAUAUUCUGAUAAAACAAAUUUCUCGCAGUAUCUCUGCACUUAUGCAGAAGACAUAUUGUUCGUCUCCAAAGAGCAUGUGGAAUACUGUAAGCAACUGUUUGUUUCGUGGAGCAGCACUGGUAAGUCCAGAAGACACAAUGUAUUAAUAUUAUAUUGUAUUGAAUUCUAUAGAAUAUAUGAAUGUAUUCAUGUAAACAAUGUAUUCAUUCUCCUGCGCACAUGCUAACAUCACUGUGAGUCAUUUUGACAUAUCGUUGUCAAUCAUAAGUCAUAAGAUGCAGCUAAAUAGUCAUAUUGUACUCUCGUCACAAUUUAUUUGUUGUUUUUUGUGUCAAGGAAAGGUAUGGGUUUGAUAGAGUAAAGAGUGAAGUAACGGUUGUGAGGCUUGAGAGAGGGAUGUCAUGGAAGAGGUGAAUUAUUCAGGUAAUGGUUGAGAGAGCAUGUACGGUUACGAAAUGAUAAUAUUCAUAAAUUUGAUCGAUUUCUUUAGUUGUCAAUAGCGACAACCUGGUUGUCGUUUUUCUAACAAAGGAUAAAAUGAAUUUGCAUUUUUAUAUUUGUUCCACUAGCAUUCACACAAUCAUAAUUUGGAGACUCUGCUAGAGUUCCCAUCAUACUUUGCCUCCUCAUAAAGCAGGGUUGUGCACGCAUUCUUGAUGUCUCCGGUAUUGCUGUGAGAUGAUGUACACAAUGUUUUCCUCUAGGCUGCUCAGAAAGGUGUGGAUAUCCUUAGCAGGAGCAUCCUUGUGGGCAUUGUUGUAAUAUAGAGUUUGAAAGCAUGAUUCGAAUGCCUUCUCUGAGAAGACAAACUCAUCCUGAGCACUUGAGGUUUGCUGGCAUCUGGCGGCUUUGUUCAUCUGAAACAUGCAUUAUAACUGUUAUACCUCAAGCACAUAAUUUAUAUUUGAGUGAAUCAAAAAGUAAUGAUUAUAUAUUUGCAUAAUGGGUUCAUGCAAUUGUAGGCUAUGAUACAUAGAAACAUGACAGCAAUUAUGAAUAGGUAUAACUAGACAGCAGGUAUAAUUAUGAAAGUUUGAAGUCUAACCUUAGUGCUAUCUCUCACACUUACUCUAUAUGACUUCUAUGUUGAGAUUUGUGAUUGAGGAUAGGGAUUAAGAAUUGAGUUUUCAAUUGUGGUUAGCAUCCAACCAGGCUAAAACGUAUCCUCCCCAGACUUUACUAUAUUGCUUCUCCAAAACGAAAAUUUCUGCAUGCAAGUUGCAUGCACGUCAAUAACAGCCGGCACUGAACUUUGUAUUGGCAAUCCCGGCAUCUCUCUUUCUUCCACAUCCACAUAUCUCCUUUCAGCAUGCCGUGGUUGCCAAUCCAACUCUAAUUUUGAAUAGAUUAGCAUACUUCUUUCUUCGCCUAAGGUGCAUCUUACAUCCAGCAAGGGGGGUGUUGAGGGCAGGGGUUCCUGGUCAGAUUCUUCUAGUGAUGAGGAAGAGGAGGAAGUCAGAAGGGAGACGUACAUUGUGAGGAGCUGGCAUAAAGAAGGCUGGUAGGAUUUGAAAACUCACCAGUUUUCCAAAGAUUUCCAUUAGUGGCCUAGGAAAAGACCAUUAAUUCCGAUUUCAACAGAUUAUUUUAUAAAAAUGUAGUCACUGCUAUAGACUGGGGUUCUGAUUGCGUGGACAAAAUUAUAUUUCAAAUCAAAAUAAUAUAUUUGUCAUUCAUAAAGAUAACAAUAAUAAAUGAAACAAAUACUUCAUAUCUAUACAGAAUAAAAAUGAAAUUCAAACUUAAUUUUUCAAUUGGCCUUGCCAUUUUAUGAAGAUACUCGUAGUAUGCAGUCAUUUGUCCUGAACGAGUUCCUAUUCUCAUGAAACAUAACUUACAAACAUCAGAGCUUGGAUCAAUAAUUGGUCAACUUGACAUGAGUGCAGCAACUGAGUCAAACGGUAUCUUCGUGCACUCAAUUUCUUCAAAAAUUCGUUGAAUCCAAUGCCACUAAAGAGCUGAGUGAUUGAUUGAGCCACCUGACAUUAUGGUUGCCUAAAGUCGCUGCUGUUGAUUACGAAUUCCCAAGUCAACAAAUACAAAUGAAAAUACAACUACUAAUUCCUACAAAAAUACUCUAUGAAUAAGACAUUUUCUUCUCAAUACAAUUUACUUCAUUUUGCUUCUCAACGAAAUUCUACUGUCAAUCAACUGCAAUUUGAAUCUACUCAAAUGAUUUCUCAAAUUUCUACUUCAAUUUAAUACAGUAUUCCAAUCAAUCACACAUAUAUAUGAGAUGAUUAAUAAUUACAUGAUAUUGAAUGAGAUAUGCAGGUACAUGUUUUACGAUUUGUGUCACUGAGAGCAUAAAUAUAAAUACUUAACCGGGUAUCCCAUUCCGAGGAUCUUAGACGCCAUCCCAGAUCAUACUAAUAAAAUCAAAUUAUAAUACUAAUGAAGGUAGUCGAUUAAAUCAAUAUCAUGGAGAAAAAUUAUACGAAAUAUAAAAUAAAUUAUAUAGAAUAUUCAAGAAAAAUAGAUAUUCAGGUCCACUAGAAGCGAUAGAAUUUACUUUACUCAAUGCUAUUCAAACUCUAGUCAAAGAUUUCUUUAGAUUUUACUUUCCUCCACUUCUUCACUUUACACUACUUUUUACUUCUUCACUUUACUCUUAUGAAAUCUUCAAUAAAUAAAUCACAAAUGAAAUGAAUUCAAUAUUUCAAUUAUCUUAGCUAAUUUUCCAAUCAUCCAUGACGCUACGACCAAUGUAACGGGAGGAGGUUGGGUUCGGAUGUUUAGGAGAAACAUACAUUCCGUGAGAUCAAUAAUAUUGUUCAUUUAUUUACCUGACACAUGCUGUUAAGUCAUGAUGAGACGACCAAGGGACCCAAAGUCGACAAUCGGCGAUGAACGACUUCAAUGAUGAGCAAUUCGGCGAGGAACUUUCGAGUAGUCGACAAUUCUGCGAUGAACGUAAUCAGAAAAUAGGAAAACUAUGAGUGGAGAAGAGUGUACAAUGAGGUGGACGAGACGGAAGAUUAGUCUACUGUUGAACAGUCCGACAAAAAAAUCAACGAAUUUACUUCUCUGAGGGAAGUGUUUCACCUUCGAACGCUGAUAGAUAUUCUCUCCAAAAGAAGAGGUUGAGAGAGAACUCACACAACUCUGCACUACUCUCAACCAGCUGCUCCCUCAUAGGGACAGCUAGAUUUUAGAAACGUUGUUUAGAGAGGGCUUCAGGAGUCUGCUAAAGGGUUUUAUGGAAAACUCCCACCACCCCACACUACUCCCAACCAGCCUCACCCUCAUGGGAUGACAGUGACCAGUUCCUGACACCAUACCUGACUAGACUUUGCUGACAUAAUACGUAAGAGAUGCUGACAUCAUACCUGGAUGUAACGGCUACUGGACAACACUCACCUUGAUUAGCGACAACAUCUUCAUUGUGCCAACUGUGAUAUCAAUAGGCUACUAUGAAUCUGUGAUAUCAACUGUGAUUCUAUGAUAUAAACUGUGAUUAAUAUGAUAUCACUGAUAUCAUACCUAGCUGUAACGGUUACUGAAAAAUACUUCACAUUGAUCAGCGGUUACCUGUGUUAGGGCCAACUCUUCACUGUGUGUUUCUCUAGUCUUGUGUUAUGUACGUCACCAACUAAAAAUUGUGCAUUUAAUAAUAUGUGUGCCGCAAACUCGAAUCUUGUGCAAAAUUCUGCAACUGUUCAAAUAAAUAGUAACUUGCAACUUUAUCUUUACAAAGUUGCAUAAUUAUCAUAAGAAUGUUAUUAAACUCUUGUGACACACUCUUGACUGCUCUAUGCCCAAUAGGAAAAGAAAAGUUGAAGUGCAUUACAUAACAGAGUAAUGCAAUUGAUUGCUGAAUAAUACGUAAUUUGAGCGGGUUUCUCUAUAAAUGAAAGUUUAUACCUCUUCCUUAUCUAUAUCAAUAAACUCUGCCGCUCUGGCAUUAACAGUAGCUCUGGCAUUCCUGAUGAUGUCGAUCAUGCUGAUUUUCACAUGUCCAGACAGUCUACCCUUUCCGUUUGUUCGCUGCUUCUUGGAUGCUGUAUUCCAAGGAUGAAUGUUAAUUCACUCAAUCAGAGAGGCAAUUUUUCACGAUUCAACUAAAUGAAGGUAGUGCCAAUAAGUGGUUUAAGGAACCGUAAUCUUCAGCUGCUAGCGAUGCCUGGUCUGGGUUCGAAUUCCGCCCACAGGCAUGGAUGUUUGUUCUUCUCAUAUCAUCACUCACGCACAAGAAACAUGCUCAUGUGGGCAUCAUCUGCAAGAGAGUGUAGCCUAUAGGACUACUUAGUGCAAAUUCUCAACGUUGGUUUAUGAAUCCUACAUACAGUGAAUACUGUAUAAUACUGGGCUAUAACGAAUUCAAAUAGUGAAAUCAAAUUGGCUCAUUAGAAGUAUUUAUAUUGGACUUUGAUUUAGUUUUGUAUUGAUUGAUGAUUUCAAUCUUGUAUGCUUCAAUGAUUAUUUGCUCCUCAGAUAUGAGACAUUUUACUGUAAAAAAACAAUUCAUUACUGUACUUUGCUGCGUCAUGAUUUUUUAUCAUUUCUAUACUCAACAAGUAUUUCAUCAUUGAUUCCGUUACUUAAUGAUAAUGCCUCUGUACUCACUUUCAGUUCUGGAUAAAGGUGAACAAAAUCAAGAUAUCAAGUAAAAAUCAAGACAUCAAUGUGAAAAAUUUAGGAAUAAAGAAUGAAUACGUAUCGUACAGGUACCUUACUUUAUACGUUGACAAAAGCAAAAUCAAAACAUAAUCAUAAUCACAUUAAUCACUUAUUACCUACAUCAUACCAUAAUCAUAGCAUUUCAGCUCAUUUAUAAAUGUGUAUUUGUAUUUUAUUUAAUUUCCGUUAUUGAUUGUAAUGUAUCUGUAUUGAAUACAAGUACAAUGUAUCUGUACAUGUAUAAUAAAUAUAGUGUUUCUUUAUUUGUAUUUGUUGCAUUGCUUUGUUUCUUUCUUCUGUCAUGGUGAUCACCACAUCUUUCCUGCUGUUGCUCUACUUAAUCUUAUUCAACUAAUUAUGUACUAGAAAUAUUAUUUCAUAUUUUUUCAAUUUGUUUUAUUGAGUGCUGAUAUGCAAUGAUAAUCAUUUGAUAUUGUUUGAUAAUUUGAUUUUAUUUGCGAUUAAUAAGAUAUUAUAAUGUUUUGAUUUUGUCAAAGUAUAAAGUAGGCCUAUAAAUAUUAACUCUAUAUCUAAAUUUUUCACAUUGAUGAUGUAUUUAGAUUUCCAUCUUUUCAAUUGUUCACGAUUUUGUAAUGUUGUCAAAAAUUCAUGAUAAGUUGAACUUUUGUGACAUUUUCACUUGGCAGAGAAAAGAUAGAAUAGGGGUACCAUGGUGAAACAAGCAUUAUAUUUAAUAUGUCUGAGGGAUUUUCUGAAUAUGGUUAACUACUAAAGUUCAUAGAAUGUAUAGGAAUUUAAUUUGUUGAUUUCCUAUGUUGAAAUUGAUUAAAUGAAAUUAGAUGAAUGCUUGAAUGUUUUUAAUGUGGUGAUGACAAAUUUUGAACUGUUUUCAGUAAAAGUAUUCAAAUGAACUGUUACAAGUGAUAAACAAACUAUACCAGUUGAAAGCAUCACAUGUGGCAAAUCAGAUGAUUCGCCACAAAUCUAAUACUGAUUCAUCGUGUUGUACUCCUAAUAUUAUGUUGAAUAUAGUCCUCAAUUUUAUUUCAUAUAAUUAUUGCAAUAUUGUCCGUUGCUUUUAUUUCUAUUUAUCUGUUUUUUCAACUAAGGGUGUUUUGUACUAAACGGUAUUGGGAUCGACCUAUCACAUACAAACAAAUAAUAAAAUAUAAGAUAUUCUAUUCAAUGAAAUUUUUGAAUUCUUUCAAUUUUUCCCAAUUGUUGGGAACAUUCUUCUUGGAAUGAGGGAGGAAUGCAGUGAUAAACAAAAUAUUUCGCAAAAUAUGGAACCGAUUAUUUAUCAAUUUAGAAAUUUCAAAUCCCGUCGGAUUUUCAACUACAAUAUUCACUACACCUUAACACAAAUUCCAAAUGUCUGUGGAUGUGUGCUCCUAUGAUAUGAAAGAUUCUAUAAUUUAUUGACUCAAUGGCUCAACUUGGCAAAUCACUUGAGGGUUCAUACCAUUUACUAUAAUCCUUACACUGCAAGAUCAUUUUUCUCAUAGUCUGUCUCCAUCAGAGCAGCCAGUAGUUUUUCAACUACUACUCAACACACAAACUACCACAAAACUACCAAGGUCGCCCUUGAUACCGAAUUCACCGUAUCAAUUCGAAUGUUUCAAUUUAUUUGCCAUAAAAUUAGAGAAUUUCUGUUCUAUGUAAUGUUUACCAUUCUUUAGUGUCUCUCAUAAUACAAACUAACUAUACAAUUUAAAUCCAUGUUCCUACACGUAGAUGAAAUGGAAUUCAAGCAUUAUUUGCUUCUAAUCAUAGUUAUAGUCACAGUGAUUCUGAAUGAUUUUUUUCCAGUUUCUCUAACAUUUUAUAAUGCAUAAACAAGGGAAACACUAUCUAUUUGAAUGAUACAAUGUAUCAUAAAUGUCAUUUGAAUGUUUUCAAAUUAAAAUUGUAUUAAUGGUUUGAGAGAAAUCUACUCUAUUCUAUAAAUGAGUUCUCAUCUGAAGCCUGUGAUAUUUAUGUAUAAAUUGUGUUAUUACUAUAUUUAUGUAUGAACUGUGUUAUUACUAUAUUUAUGUAUGAACUGUGUUAUUACUAUAUUUAUGUAUGAACUGUGUUAUUACUGUGAUGUAUUUUGUAUAAUUUUACCUAGAUAUGUUCUGUGAUUGUCAUUGUGAUUGUCAUUUUUGACGAAACUAUAUAGGCUUAAACUCUCUAGUGAAUGAAACACAUUAUAUUAUUAUCAAGACUGAGAUGAAAAUGAUAAACUAUCAUGUUUUUUUAUUGAAUUGAAUCUUGUAUUAUUGAAGUAAAAUAUUUUAUAAAAUUU